rnacentral:rRNA from 1 species
UACGUAGGUGGCAAGCGUUGUCCGGAAUUAUUGGGCGUAAAGCGCUCGCAGGCGGUCUUUUAAGUCUGAUGUGAAAUCUUGCGGCUUAACCGUAAGCGGUCAUUGGAAACUGGAGGACUUGAGUACAGAAGAGGAGAGUGGAAUUCCACGUGUAGCGGUGAAAUGCGUAGAGAUGUGGAGGAACACCAGUGGCGAAGGCGACUCUCUGGUCUGUAACUGACGCUGAGGAGCGAAAGCGUGGGGAGCAAACAGGAUUAGGAUA